AUAAAAUGGAGAGGCAAGGUAGAAAGACAGAGCGGAUAAGAACAUGAGGAUGGCAGGAACUCCAAAACCUACUUUCCACCCCAGUCUGUCUUGUAGGUAAACGAUGCCCGUCAGGGCAAUCAAAACAGAAGCUACGCAUAAAGUAUAAUACCAGCACCAAUUGACAUGAGCAGAAAUGAGAAAACCAAGAGCAUGUAUUGUGAUGUCGUUGUAGAUUUACAAGCCUGUCCUGAUUGAUUGCAAGGCGGAGGUCUUGCUUUCGGAAUCAUUGCUGUUAACCACAACACUACAGUUCCCUGUAACAACAGGGCAUUCAAGUGUUAAAAUUAGGUAAGUUCCUCUCGUCUUAUGGGAAUAGUCACAUAUACUGUAUAGUUAACACGUCCAACUGAACCUAUUUUCCUAGUGAACACUUGCAAAAACACACUGGAAUUACUAACAAAUAUUUACCACCAUCGGCCAAGCUUCCGUGGUUGAUUUUACACUGACCUAUAAAUCAUACAGAUCACUCAGACAAAGCUAACUUUAUCAUUGCUCAAAUGUUCCCUUUACUAAUUUAAAAAGUGGUGGUUUAAUUAGUUAUCUUAGAAAUAAAUAUUUGUAGCAGCAAUUAGGGUAAUAAGGACAGUACUAUUUUUCAUAACUUAACCACCAUUGGAUCCUCUGACAGUAAUAACGCAUGCUGAUGAUUAUAAUAUUUGUCACAAAUCACGAUUACGAAAUUCUAAAUUAGUAUACGCUCUGUUUAUUUGCUUGUUCAAUUUUAACUUGACACAUCUAUUAAAAAAAAAAAUUGACAUAAUAAAUUUAUCAUUUUACCCUUAUUAAUUGAUCGAAUUUCAAAGUUAAUUUACUCAUUGAAAAGGUUUUAAUCUUUCUAAAAAUAUUAACUCUCUAAAUAAAUUGUGAAUAUAAUAGAAAAAAGAAUAUUUUUUUUUGACUUAUCAAAAAUAAAAAGUAAAAAAUUAAAAUUGAACAAGUUAAAACAGGUGGAUUAUAAAAUGAAAUUAGCAUUUUCUUCAGAAAUAUAUUAUAAUUCAAUUAGAAAAGUUCUUAAAAAGAACACUUCUAAUGAAGUAAAAAAAAGAUCAAUAAAGAUUGUCAUCAUAAAGGACAAAACUAACGCAUAUUUAAAGUAGACAAGCGGUUCCAUAAUAUUAAAUCCCAUAAAAAUACUUAUAAAACUGUUAAUGAAAAUUUGUAGCUCAUUUGGAUGGAGUGUUAAAGUUACAUAAGCUUUUUCGAUAAAUUUUAUUUAUGUAAGUAUGAGAAUAGAUCGUUUCUAAUAAAAUUUGAGUUUAUUUUUAAAAACUUAAUAAUAUCGGAAGAGUAUAAAAAGCACACCUUUAUUAUGCGUAAUAUUUCUACAACUGAUAAACUAUCUUAAUUAAUAUUAAAAUCAGUGGGAGAUUGUUGAUUUUUCAUUUUAAUAUUAGUAUUUUAUAUAUUAAUUUGCUUAUAAUGGAGUACAAAGAUGCCGUAUUUCCAUUCUUCUUGGUUGCUAUUCUUUUUAACCGUUAGUGGGCUAUUGAUCGUGAGUUAGCCCUCAUUUAUUGUUGUAAGUAGGGUUGUCAAAAAUGAAUUCAAAUAUAAGUAACCUGUUUAAUUUAUUCAGAAUUUAAAGGGUGGAUUCAAGAUAAUUUGAUUGGGUUCAAUCUCAACACAUUCAAGCUUAAUCAAUUUGAAGAGAAUUGUCAAUUGAGCCAAUUCAAUUUUCAAUUUCAAUUUGUUUAAAACUUGUUAUGAAGAUAUGUAUCUAUAUUAAAGAUAUGAAUUAUUAUUUAUUAAACAUCUUUUAGGAUUUAUCUA